GAUGAACGCUGGCGGUAUGCCUAACACAUGCAAGUCGACCGGCGCACGGGUGAGUAACGCGUAUCCAACCUGCCCAUCACUUGGGAAUAACCUUGCGAAAGUAGGACUAAUACCCAAUGAUAUCCCACGAAGGCAUCCGAAUGGGAUUAAAGAUUUAUCGGUGAUGGAUGGGGAUGCGUCUGAUUAGCUAGUUGGUGAGGUAACGGCUCACCAAGGCGACGAUCAAUAGGGGGUCUGAGAGGAUGUCCCCCCACACUGGUACUGAGACACGGACCAGACUCCUACGGGAGGCAGCAGUAGGGAAUAUUGGUCAAUGGAGGCAACUCUGAACCAGCCAUGCCGCGUGCAGGAAGACUGCCCUAUGGGUUGUAAACUGCUUUUGUACGGGAAGAAAUGUUACUACGUGUAGUAACUUGACGGUACCGUAAGAAUAAGGAUCGGCUAACUUCGUG
rnacentral:rRNA from 1 species